rnacentral:rRNA from 1 species
ACGCUCGACACUACGGAGGCAGCAGUGGGGAAUAUUGCACAAUGGGGGAAACCCUGAUGCAGCGACGCCGCGUGAGCGAAGAAGUAUUUCGGUAUGUAAAGCUCUAUCAGCAGGGAAGAAACUGACGGUACCUGACUAAGAAGCACCGGCUAAAUACGUACCAGCAGCCGCGGUAAUCUGAGCGGGCGUGGCGAAGGC